GCAAACUUGGUCAUUUAGAGGAAGUAAAAGUCGUAACAAGGUUUCCGUAGGUGAACCUGCGGAAGGAUCAUUAACAAAUCCGUGUGAUAAUGCGAUGUGGUAUUUAUUAUAUUGCUCCCCUCACACACACAAGCUCCGCGGCCGCAAGGCCGUGUGUGUAAUUUAUAUUUUGCCGUUUAUCCGAAAACAUCUGAACAUGGAAACAAACUUUUAACAAUGGAUCUCUAGGCUCCUGCAUCGAUGAAGAACGCAGC
rnacentral:misc_RNA from 1 species